rnacentral:rRNA from 1 species
GAUGAACGCUGGCGGCGUGCUUAACACAUGCAAGUCGAACGGAAAGGCGCCUGCUUUCCGUGGUACUCGAUUGGCGAACGGGUGAGUAACACGUGGGUGAUCUGCCCUUCACUUCGGGAGAAGACUGGGAAACUGGGUCUAAUACCGGAUAUGACGAUUUUUUGGAUGCCAUUGUGGAAAGUUUUUCGGUGUGGGAUGAGCUCGUGGCCGAUCAGCUUGUUGGUUGGGUAAUGGCAUACGAAGGCGUAGACGGGUGGCCGGCCUGAGAGGGUGUACGGCCACCUUGGGACUGAGGGACGGCCCAGAAUCCUACGGGAGGCAGCAGUGGGGAAUAUUGCACAAUGGGCGCAAGCCUGAUGCAGAGACGCCGGGUGGGGGAUGCCGGCCUUCGGGUUGUAAACUCAUUUCGAUAGGGACGAAGCGAAAGUGACGGUACCUGGAGAAGAAGCACCGGCUAACUACGUG